UCUUGAUCCAUAAUUGCCUGGAUACAGUUUUUUGAGAUUACCAUUUAAAGUGGGCAGAGACACAUGAUUUCUCUAAUCAGAAUGUCAGCCAGCAGGUGCUAAAAUGAAAUGAGACCUUGACUGCAUUUACAACUGACCUUGGAUUAUUUCAAGGCAAUAAGUGAGCCAUUGACACAAACAGAGAACAACCUGCUAGCAGACUUCUCCUGCGUGUUUUUUGAAGAGGCACGUUUCUUUUGAGGAUUGUGGAAGCCACUGUGUAAAUCAAAGAGUUGAUUAAGUUCAGAGAUUUCCAGGAAAAAAGCCUAGUUUCCAACCAGCGCUGAUGUUUACACUUUAUGCAAUGCACCUGAAAUAUUUAAACAAAUGAAGAGGAAAGGGAGAAAGCCCAAACAUCUCACUGUGCAUGCCUGGAAAAGCACUGUGGCAUGUAUGUAACUUCAACUGCAUGAGUUUGUGGUUUGACAUGGAUUAAGCGGUUCAAAUGCCACCCUACAGGAAACCUAAAAAGGCAAAGCAGGGCUGCUCAUUACAGACUGUGACACCACUGGAGACCCAGGGAUUACACAGAUCACCGUGGAUCCACCAUCUGGUAUCACUUGUCCUUUCUCCGUUCAGAUGAGAUGAUGAGGGAACUCCUUGCUCCUACAAAUCCCAGAAUUGCUGAGAUUGGAAGGACCCUCCUUCUGCUCAAGCUGGAUUGCAUAGAGAAUGUUGCCCAGAAAUGUUGUCCAGACAGCUCCUGAGUAUCUCCAAGGAUGGAGAUUCCACAACCAGACAUUCAUCUUCAGCUGUCAGCAUUGGAAAGGGACACAGAGAAGAGAGCAAAGCACAUGUCUGAUCAUAACUCAAAACAGAAUGAAGCAGGGCAGCUGCUGGCAAGAAGUUACAUCACCUCCGCUGCAGUAUAUUGAGCAACCACCCUAAAGUAAUGAAGAUAAUUUCAGAUAAUUUUUAAAUGUGUGCUUGUUUAGAAGCAUCCAUUGAGUAUGUAUAAUAAAUGGAAUC